GAUCUUAUCCGAGCUGGUGGCGGCCGUCUUGUCCUCCGCCGCGGCGGCCGCGGGGCGAGCUCGACCAUCGAGGCCGUUGCCUCCCAUGCGGGCUCGUCCGCGGCGGUCUUGCGUCCUCUCCUCUUUCGUCUGUGUGCCGCUCGCGUGUGGGGAGAGGUGACGGCGCCACCGCGAUGGCGACUGCCUGCGGUCGGAGCACAUUUUUUCCUCUCUUCUCCCUCGGGAGGAAGAAGAAGGUCGUGCGAUGACGUCCUCGUGGGUUUCCCCCAACCCAAGUCACCUCCGGUUUUCUGCUCCUCUUUUCCUGCCUCUCUCUUGUUGUUUCAUGGAUUGAUUCAAAACCCGAUUUUUCAAGAUUUUACUUUGUGUUUUUUGAUUGAUGUAGACUUUUUGACUGCCAGACAGUGACACUGUUGAUUGCGGUAAAAUUUUCUUUUAUGUUGCUCUUGAUUUGUGCUUAUAUUUUGUGAGAUGUUUUCUUUGGCAUGCUAUUUUGGAUUUGUAAUGCUAUUAAAUUUCUUGGGAUUCCUUUCUGUUUAUUAAGAUUAUAAUUUGAAUAAUUUAACUUGGUUAUAGUAACAACAGAAGAACAUUGUUUUAUUUCAGAAUGGAAUUUCAUAUUGUAAGUUUCGAGCACCAAGUAAGAUUUGAUUGUUCGGUCUCCAGAGAUAGGAGGUUGUUUUAGAGGUCGAGCUUAUGAGUUAAAGAUUGCUCUUUUUUUUUUUUUGGUUUAUAUUAUUAUUUUGCUCUAGUUGAUCAAAGCAGGCUGUUUUGGAAGAGAAGGUGCAAUAUACUCGAGUAAGGUGUUUUUCAGAUGGGCUAAAAUUGACAGAUAUAGAAGGUCACCCAAUGGAAAUUAGACUCAACAUGAAGCACAAGUUCCUUUUCAGCACAGAGGAAGAUUCUGGGACUCAACAGUGUUGCUGCAUGUGUUUUCUCUUGUAGUUGGAUCAAACUUUUAGAAACAAAUAUGUACUAUAAAUGAUUUUUUUUAUUGUCCUUUAGCCUCAAAAGAGAAUGUUAUCUUGGUAUGUGAUGAUAAGACAUUUGGAUGUUUGUUCCAAUGUAAGAGGUCUAAUUUAUGUUCUGAAAGUUCAAUUGUUUC